UAGCAGUGAGGAAUAUUGGUCAAUAGCCUAAGAGGCUGAACCAGCCACUUGGAGGAAUGUACAGGGAAAGCUGGUAAAAUGCAAUGUACCUGGUAGUAUUAGAGAUUAAUAUGAUAUUAACUGAGUUAAUUAAAAUUCUAUGUAGAUAUUUGAUUAUGACAAUAUUUGCUUAUUUCUUGACCAAGUCACGUGCCAGCAGUCGCGGCAAUACGUGGUAGAUUAGUGUUAUUCAUCUUUAAUAGGUUUAAAGGGUACCUAGACGGUUAAUUAGACAUAAAAGUGUACUAAUUAACUAGAGUUUAAUGUAAGAAGGAUUGAGUACGGUGAGUGUAGAGAUAAAAUCCUGUAAUACCACUUAGGAACUGGUAAAGGCGAAGGCAACCUUUUAUGUAAAAACUGACGUUAAGGGACGAAGGCUCGAAUUAAGUAACAGGAUUAGAUACCCUAGUAUUGUGGGCAGACAAUGAUGAGUGUCAUAUGCAAGAAUAUUUUUGUGUAUAAAUGAAAGUGUAAGCACUCCACCUCAAGAGUAACGUGGCAACAUGGGAACUGAAAUCAUUAGACCGUUUCUGAAACUCGUAGUGAAGUAUGUUGUUUAAUUUGAUGAUCCGCAAAGAACCUUACCACAAUUUGUAUUACUUGAACAUAACAUAUUAUAAACUAUUUUAUAAAACUAUAAUAUAAGUACAAGUAACAAGCGUUGCACGGCUGUCUUCAGUUAAUGUUGUGAAACUUUGGUUAGAUCCAUUUAAUUGACGUAAACCCUUACUUUAUUUGUUAUAAAGUAGUUCGCCGCUAUAUUGGUAGUGAUAUAAGGGACUAGGACAAGGCAUCNUNACC
rnacentral:rRNA from 1 species